rnacentral:lncRNA from 1 species
AUCAUUCCAGAUUCAUUUCUUGCUAUUUCCUGCCUUGCCAAUAAUGUUACAACAAUUCUAAAAUACGAUAUUUAUUACUUCUGUGACCCUGUUCAUACAUUUCUUUAAAAUGUCACAAAUAUCCUCCCUCACCUCCACAUCAAUCUAAAUAAUUCCUAUUUAUUCUUUAAGAUACAGCUGAGUUGUUGUGUCUUCCAUGAUACUUUACAUAAAAAUCUAGCUGCCCACCAUAGAUGUUAGUAGUUCCUUAAUAUGUUGUGUAUAGCUCUAAGCAGGGAUAAGUACUAGAAAAAUAAGUAGGGUACAAAGGUAAAUGUUAAAAAAGGUUAUAUUUAUUAAAAUAAAGGGUAUAUUUUAAUAAAGAGAUAUUAAUAAAGGGUAACAUGAUAUCCAUCCUAAACAUGUUUGUUCAAAUGAGUGAAUUUAAAAAUGCACAAUGAAUCAAAUAUUAUUUCAUACUAGUUAGCAUAACCUGGACAGAAGACAUGCUUUGAUUUCUAGUGUUAGUUAAUAUUGUCUCUUGAAGUAAUAUAAAAAAAGCUUAGCAAACAUUAUUUAAGUCUCUACUCUCCUGUUCCCAAAGAGGUAGUCCUCAUAACUUUUCAUGUUAUACCCCAGGGUAGAGAGACCAGUGAAAGCCCAGCUUCUUCUAAUGGAGUGGGCAUAACUGGGGAUGCCAUGUUAAAUUUACUACCUUCAUCCCAUUCAUUUAGAAAGUUCCAGAUAUCAUAUAGCCAAACUAUGGCCCAACUGAAGCUAUUAAUACAUAUUUUAUUCCUAGGAAACAAUUUCCAGUUGAAAGUAUAUGCUACCUUGAAAACGAGGCUAGAGAACUGAAUACUUAGAUACUGAUGCUACUUUCUUUUUCCACAGCUCUCAAUAAAAAAGUUACUUUUUAUUGUCCACUUUUAUGUGGUCAAUUAUUUUGACUCAAGUAAAAGAAGAACAAUGCAGCAAGAGAAUUGAGGAUAUUUUUGAGAAUGGAUUCAACUUCUGGAUAUCACAAACCAAAUUGUGGCACAGAAAGACAAUUCAUAAAUGUCUUCUUCAAAAUGGGCCAAUUAGGCCGAAGUUGAGAAUUUGGGGAAAAGUACAAAAUUGAGAUGAUCAAGAACUAAUUCUAGCUACAUUGCUGAAUGGAAAAACUAAGUAACAUGAAGCAGAUAACCUAUCUGUUGAUAACUGAGACUAAGAAAAUACAAACUAUUGAAAAAGUGAUGUGAUAUGACUUUAACUUAGCAUGAAAUGAAGAGACACCAGAGUAUAUACAGUAAGUCUAUAAUCAGUAAUGUCUCAUUCAUGUAUGUCACCCACCUUUAAGUUUAGCCAAUUAUCAAAAUACAGUUAUAUAACUACUUUUCCAUAUUUUUGUAAGGUAAAUGUAUAAUUACUGAAAGUAAAAAAUAGUCGGAAUGCAACAUAUAGCAACAGUAAAAACAAAAAACAACAAAAGAUAAUUAUUUAGGAUUGAAGCAGAAUAACAAAAAAGAGUGAAAAAAUGCAAAAGAAAAUUAAAUAUAGCAAUAACCAUUAUCAUAUAAUAAACUGGAAGGCACUAAAUUUCAAUCAUAUUUGCUGAAAGACAUUACAAAAGUUACUAGUAAAUUACUGUUGCUAUUACCUCUUAUGUUUCCUUUCACAUUAACCCACAUAAAUAAAAUACUUAUAAAUUUACUCUUUAGUUUUUAAUCAAUUUUAUAAACUAUUUUAUUAUCAACUCUUAGUUAAUUUCAUAGGGAUGAAGGAAGUCACACAUAACUCUAAAUCACUUAGAAACAACAGUCAAGGUGACCAACCAUGGCACAUAAUUCCUAAUUUAUACUAGCUAAGCCUUCCACCACAUUAUUUCUUUACCUAAAGGAUCUCAAAUGUUGUCACUGGCUCAAAUCUCUAAAUCUCCAUACAGCCUUGAGAACUUUUCAGAUUUUAGAGAUCUUCUCUCUCUUUUCUUUCUAAUUAACCCCUCUUUCUAGUUAACCCUUCUUGCUAUUAUAUGCCAGGUAACUGAGAUUUCCCUCCAAUGUAAAUUAUAUUUCCUUAAGGCAUUGUAGCUGUACUAUCUAUGAUUCACUGCAAAUUCCCACUUUGGAAAGAGAAAUGGUGGUAGGGUAGAAAUGAACAAGUGUUUUCUCACAGACUCAGUAUUCUCUGCAGAUAAGGAUUAUCUACUAUGACAAAGGAGUAGAUUACAGCCACCUCUGACAAGGCAACCACAAACAAAUCAGUUCAACCUAAGCACUUCAAGGACAGAUUCCUCUACUCUGGAGGUGGGAAAGUGAGUUUUCAAGACCUAUGCCAUCUAAAUACCUAAUUAUGGACUCUGCUGAGGAAGGUGAGUAGUCAACUGGAGUUAAUUUAAAGAUAAUACUGUUAUUCUAUAUUUGUAGAUAAAUAGAGAGUUAACUGUAAUUCCUGAUGAACUAAAUUUUUAGAAUCACCAAAGAGAUUCUCCUAAUUUACAAAAGGGACACUGUAUUUUUUAUGUCCUACUACAAUUAGUUAAUACGUUUUAUUUCAUGUUAUUUUAUGUGGGUGAUAUUUCUAUAUUUCAUUAACAACCAUAUAUGUAUAUACAUAAAAACAGAAAUAAAAGUGAACUAUAUCAUAUCAAUACACAGGCACAAGCAAUUCCACAAACAGACUCAAUUGUAAGAAAA